rnacentral:misc_RNA from 1 species
GAUGAAGAACGUAGCGAAAUGCGAUAAGUAAUGCGAAUUGCAGAAUUCCAGUGAGUCAUCGAAUCUUUGAACGCACAUUGCGCCCUUUGGUAUUCCGAAGGGCAUGCCUGUUCGAGCGUCAUUAUCACCCCUCAAGCCCUCGGCUUGGUGUUGGACGGUUUGGUGGAGGCCCCCUCGGGGGUUCCUGCCCCUCCCAAAGACAAUGACGGCGGCCUCGUUGGACCCCCGGUACACUGAGUUCUUCACGGGACACGUAUCGGACACAUGGGUUUACGGGACACGGUCUGCCUCCCCUCAGGGAGAAUCUUUCUAAGGUUGACCUCGGAUCAGGUAGGGAUACCCGCUGAACUUAAGCAUAUCAAUAAGCGGAGGA